rnacentral:rRNA from 1 species
GGACCCGCACAAGUAGUGGAGCAUGUGGUUUAAUUCGAAGAUACGCGCAGAACCUUACCAACACUUGACAUGUUCGUCGCGACUUUAAGAGAUUAAAGUUUUCGGUUCGGCCGGACGAAACACAGGUGCUGCAUGGCUGUCGUCAGCUCGUGUCGUGAGAUGUUGGUUAAGUCCCGCAACGAGCGCAACCCUCACUUUUAGUUGCCAUCAUUAAGUUGGGCACUCUGAAAGAACUGCCAGUGAUAAGCUGGAGGAAGGUGGGGAUGACGUCAAGUCCUCAUGGCCCUUACGUGUUGGGCUACACACGUGCUACAAUGGUAUCUACAACAGGAAGCAAGACGGACGCUAAGCCG